rnacentral:lncRNA from 1 species
UGCUUUUCUAGCAAUAGUGAAUAAGUCUCAUGAGAUCUAAUGGUUGUAAAAAGGGGAGUUCUCCUGCAUAAACUCUCUCUUUGUAGGAGCUAAGAUUGCAAGAUCAGGGAGAGAGCAGGGCCAAACUAUAUCCGGCUUUGUAGGCCUUGGUGAGGACUUCUAUUCUCAUUCUGAAUGAGAAAGGAAGUCAACAGAAACUUUUUAACCAAGUGGCAAUAUGAUCUGAUUUGCAUUUUACGAGGAUCUCAUUGACCACCACAUAAAAAAAAGGCUCUAGAAAACCAAGGACAAAAGCAGGAAGAACCUUCACAAGACCAGUGCAACAAUCCAGCACAGGCAAUGAAAGUAAAAAUAAACGG